GGUGGGGUUCCCGAGCGGCCAAAGGGGCAGACUGUAAAUCUGCCGUCAUCGACUUCGAAGGUUCGAAUCCUUCCCCCACCACCA
rnacentral:tRNA from 1 species